rnacentral:lncRNA from 1 species
AAUUAAUAAAAUAUUAAGUAAAGUUUAAUUUAAGUUUUAAUUUAAGUUUGUAGCCUUAGCCACAAUCAGCAUCUGAGGGGAUGAGGAAGUGCUGUUUACAACUUAAAAACGUAUUCUUUCUAGGCAUGUUGUUGGUGGUGUGGUCUACAGCCAUAAAUUGCAAGAGCCAAGAUGAUUUGACUGCCUCUUCCUGUCUAUGAUCUGCCUAUUUGGGGGUCCAACUCAACCUCUGAGAAUCAAGUUCUCCCAUGUCCAUUGUAGGCACUUCUGGAACAUAAGAAGGAACAGAUCAGCCUCAUCAAAUCAAAUACUGUCCUCUUCUCACUGGUGACUUCCCACAAUUCUCCAGCACACCCUCGGAAUUCCAAGACAUUCUGACUGGGGCAGCAGGUGGAUGUUAGCACUGACUGAUAUGAUUAGCACUAGGUUUGUGUUAUACCAAGAUGUGUUUUUUUGGAGGGAGCAAUGAUUGAAUUGCAGUUGGAAUUUUUUUAAGUUUUGGGGGGCUUGUCAGACAGCCAAAAUGGAGCUACAAAGCAGCAAUAGGGGUUAGAGUUUAAAAGAAGGAUCUGGACUGACAAGAUAAGGACAAAGGUACUUUCUCAUUGGAUCUUAACUACUCGUCAACGGAAGAGUUGUUACUGUCUCAACUACCUUACAGUCACUGUGUCUUCUUGGAAAAGGACUUAUAAACUCUGUAGAAAUUGCUUGAUAUACAGAGCAGAGAGAAAUAUUUUAGUGGACACCCUACAGAUGCAUUGAGAAAGCACAAGUUCAAUAGUAGAUAUUUGACAUCAAAAUUGGUGGUGCAUGCAAACUCCACUGACUUCAGUAUCAGAAAUCCAGAAAUCAAGUGACACCCUCAUUAUCAGAUACUCUAGGCUGUGGUCCCUGGCCUGUUAGGAACCAGGCAGCACAGGAGGAGGUGAGUGGCGGGCCAGUGAGCAUAUCUUCAUCUGUAUUUACAGUCACUCCCAUCACUCGCAUUACCACCUGAGCUCUGACUUUUGUCAGAUCAGUAGUGGCAUUAGGUCCUCAUAGGAUUGCAAGCCCUAUUGCAACUGCACAUGCCAUGGAUCUAGGUUUUGUGCUCCUUAUGAGAGUUUGAUGCCUGAUGCCUAUCACUGUCUCUCGUCACCCCUAGAUGGGACCACCUAGCUGCAGGAAAACAAGUUCAGGGCUCCCACUGAAUCAACAUUAUAAUGAGUUGUAUAAUUAGUUCAUUAUUGUUAUUAUGUAUUAAUAUUAGAAA